GUCGAUUUCAGUCUACAAAUCAAGACAACUUCCAACCGAAGAAAAAUGUCGGCAAAGAUUGCAGUAUUUAUCCUGGCCAUGAUGGUCUGCAGUUUUGGAUUGAUCAGGUGACCAAUCUGAAGGAGCAUCAUGUUCAUCUGAUAACAAAGAUCAUGGAAAAUAUAUGCCACUGCUAGAUUUGGUUGAUCGCCUGGCUAAAGAAAUCGCUGAGCGCAUAAGUAAUUGCGAUUAUUGUUCAAUUAUAUGAAAGCAGACGUAUUCCAUUGGUUGAAUAAUCAGAUUACAUUAUUUAUGCAUUAGGCAAAUUUUAUCUGCUAUUUCGAUAAGCUUUGCAAAUUUUUAAUCAACCUAGAACAACAGAUAAAAUUAUUCUGGAUUUCAAUCUUUGUAAUAUUUGUUGCGAUGGGAAAUGGUGACCAAUCUGAAGGAGCAUCACGUUCAUUUGACAGCAAAGAUCAUGGAAAGUUUUUGCCUCUAGAAUUGUAUAGGUGUCUGGCUGAAGAAAUCGCUAGAGGUUUAGGCUUAGGUAAUUGCAUUUAUUGUUUAUUUAUGUCUACGAAAGCAGGCGUAUUCUAUUGAUUGAAUAAUCAGAUUAGAUUAUUUAUGCAUAAGUCAAAUUUUAUCUGGUAUUUCGAUAUGCUUUGCAAUUUUUAAUUAACCUAGAACAACAGAGAAAAUUUAUUCUGGAUUUCAAUCUUUGUAAUAUUUGUUGCGAUUUCAACAGGAGAUCAAUCUGAAGAAUAAUCACAUUAAUUCGAGAACGAAUAUCAAGAAAAAUUUAUUUCUGGUGGUGAAAUUGUUGAGCCAAUAGGUAAUUGUAGAAUUGUUCAAUUGUUUAAAAGGGGAUAAAGGUAUAAAUUAUUUCAAUAUUCAUUGUCAACUUGCCACGUCAUAAUGUACAAAAACGCAUUUAAAGAAAACAAAAAGUUUCUGGAAUAUAAAAGCAUAUGGUAUUAUUUUCAGCAAAAAUCAAUGAAAACAGUUCAAUAUUUACUCAAUUUCCGUACAAGAGAGAUAGCGUUUAUUAGUUUGCAAAUUUCUCUUAUUGAAUCUGUUUUAAUAUUAAAACAUGCAUUAGCUUCCGUAUCAGGUCGACAUUUUAUUUGUAUUCAUAAAUUAAUUCAUCAUGAUUUGCUACUUUACAAUGUAUAGCAGUGCAUUUAAUAAUUUUUUGUUUCCAGGUUAGCUCUUUUUCCCGACAAUACAGAUGACGAUUUGAUAAUGACGGAUUCAGACAACGAAUUUUGAUUUGAAUUUUUUUUUUUUUGUCAAAACUUAUUAUUCAGAAUAAAGAAUUUAUUGAAUGAAA